rnacentral:rRNA from 1 species
AGACCCUACGGGGGGCAGCAGUGGGGAAUAUUGCACAAUGGGGGAAACCCUGAUGCAGCAACGCCGCGUGGGUGAAGGAGCGUUUCGGCGCGUAAAGCCCUGUCAGCGGGGAAGAAGAAAGACGGUACCCGACCAAGAAGCCCCGGCUAACUACGUGCCAGCAGCCGCGGUAAUACGUAGGGGGCAAGCGUUAUCCGGAUUUACUGGGUGUAAAGGGAGCGUAGACGGCUUGGCAAGCCAGAUGUGAAAGGCUGGGGCUCAACCCCAAGACUGCAUUUGGAACUGUCAUGCUAGAGUGUCGGAGA